rnacentral:rRNA from 1 species
UACGGAGGAUGCAAGCGUUAUCCGGAAUGAUUGGGCGUAAAGCGUCCGCAGGUGGCUAUGUAAGUCUGCUGUUAAAGAGUGAGGCUCAACCUCAUAAAAGCAGUGGAAACUACAAGGCUAGAGUACGUUCGGGGCAGAGGGAAUUCCUGGUGUAGCGGUGAAAUGCGUAGAGAUCAGGAAGAACACCAGUGGCGAAGGCGCUCUGCUAGGCCGUAACUGACACUGAGGGACGAAAGCUAGGGGAGCGAAUGGG